rnacentral:rRNA from 1 species
GCCUACGGGGGGCAGCAGUAGGGAAUAUUGCUCAAUGGGGGAAACCCUGAAGCAGCAACGCCGCGUGGAGGAUGAAGGUUUUCGGAUUGUAAACUCCUUUUGUUAGAGAAGAUAAUGACGGUAUCUAACGAAUAAGCACCGGCUACCUCCGUGCCAGCAGCCGCGGUAAUACGGAGGGUGCAAGCGUUACUCGGAAUCACUGGGCGUAAAGAGCGCGUAGGCGGGAUAGCAAGUCAGAUGUGAAAUCCUAUGGCUUAACCAUAGAACUGCAUUUGAAACUGUUAUUCUAGAGUAUGGGAGAGGUA